UCAUUGGAGACUGCAAGAAUUUGGAGGUCUUGUUUAAUGACAUGGAAUCACUCAUGUUGCUCCGUAAGUUGUUCAUUGGAGGUUGUCCGAAGUUGGCAUCCUUACCACAAUGCAUCAAGAAUUUGAAGGCAUUGGAGAAUCUCUGGAUUUGCAAUUGCGAGAAUUUGAAGCUGCCAGAAGGCGAAGGUGAUGAACCACGCUCCAUGUCGAGGCUUCGAUCCGUGAUGUUUGUGGGAUUACCAAAGAUAGUUUCUUUUCCCAGGUGGCUCGAAGGUUCUACAAGAACACUGCAGAAAAUUGAUGUUGUGCAUUGUCCCAACUUGGGCACAUUGCCUGAGUGGCUGCAAAAUUGUUUUUCUCUGAGAAAACUGAAGAUUGAAGACUGUCCUAAAUUGUCCUCUUUACCAGAUGGAAUUCGCCACAUUGCCACAUUGAGAGAGCUGUGGAUAGAUGAUUGCGGGGAAAUAAGCAGUAGAAUUGCUGCUAGAAGCGGUGAAGAUUGGAGCAAGAUUGCUCACAUCCCGGAGAUUUACAUUGACGGAAGGAAGAUGAAAUGAAUUGAUUAAUCGCGAAUUACAUUGCCAAUCGGAAACUCCUUUGAGUUUCUGAAGAAAAAGUUUCGAUUUUUGCUCAUGGAAGAUCCUGCCUUCCCAGCAGCGCUGAAGUCCCAUACUCAAGAUCAAGAAAAUAAUGUUCGUUUAAUCAAUUUCAAUGUUUUCUUCUUAUUGUUCCUCUUUUCUGUUUUGCGUGGUGUGCUCCAAAGAUAAUGUAUAUGCAUCCGUAUGCCCGUGUCAGCUUUAUUGUCUUCAGAAGAUCUUGGUGAGAUAAAAUUGGAUGAUGCUUCCAAUUCAAAUUA